GCCAGGAAGAGGAAGAAAGAGAAUCUCUAAGAGUAGUGGGAACGGGAACAUGGAGGAAAGCAUGAAAACUUCUGUUUUUGUCUCAAUGUUUUCCUGAUGCCUCCCGUUCCUACGGUUUUUAGGUGCUCCUUCCUCUUCCUUAGGCCU
rnacentral:pre_miRNA from 1 species